rnacentral:rRNA from 1 species
CCCCCUGGACAAAGACUGACGCCCAGAUGCGAAAGCGUGGGUAGCAAACAGGAUUAGAUACCCUGGUAGUCCACGCCGUAAACGCUGUCUACUUGGAGGUUGAGGUUUUAGACUUUGGCUUUCGGCGCUAACGCAUUAAGUAGACCGCCUGGGGAGUACGGCCGCAAGGUUAAAACUCAAAUGAAUUGACGGGGGCCCGCACAAGCGGUGGAGCAUGUGGUUUAAUUCGAUGCAACGCGAAGAACCUUACCUACUCUUGACAUCCAGCGAAGCCUUUAGAGAUAGAGGCGUGCCUUCGGGAGCGCUGAGACAGGUGCUGCAUGGCUGUCGUCAGCUCGUGUUGUGAAAUGUUGGGUUAAGUCCCGCAACGAGCGCAACCCUUAUCCUUGUUUGCCAGCACGUAAUGGUGGGAACUCCAGGGAGACUGCCGGUGAUAAACCGGAGGAAGGUGGGGACGACGUCAAGUCAUCAUGGCCCUUACGAGUAGGGCUACACACGUGCUACAAUGGCAGAUACAGAGGGCAGCGAGACAGCGAUGUUUAGCGAAUCCCUUAAAGUUUGUCGUAGUCCGGAUUGGAGUCUGCAACUCGACUCCAUGAAGUCGGAAUCGCUAGUAAUCGUGGAUCAGAAUGCCACGGUGAAUACGUUCCCGGGCCUUGUACACACCGCCCGU